rnacentral:lncRNA from 1 species
CCCUAGCCAUUUACCAACAUCCUGCUUUCAAGGAUGUAAUAAUGUGGACGUGUUGUUGAGUUGAGUGUCUUUACCUCUAGGGCAACAUGGCAGGUAUAAUGGGUGUCACUAUAUUUAUAUAAUUUGUUUCGGUAGCCGUCGCUCUUGGGUCCUCUGGAGCCUCAUCAUCAACCUUGACAGUGACUCCAAUGAAGGCAACCACCAGGAAUACCCCAACAUUGUCUGUCACCAUCCCCACAGUGGCCCCUGCCAUGCCAACCAGUAGGACAAGUUCAUCAGUCAGUGAAGCACCUAAUACAGAUCCUACUGGUGACACUAGAGUCCCAAUGGAAUCAUCAACUUCAUCACCUGCAACUGAGCCUUCCCAAUACUCUCAGCCACUAACUCCAUCACAAUCAUCCAAUGGCAGCACCACCACACAAACCUCUACAGGUUUUACAGCUGACACUACUAUGAAUCAGACCCUAACUGGAAUAGUUGGUUAUGACUCAACAUCCUCAAUCUUCUCAUCAACUUUGUCGCCAAGCUCUGAUUUUACGACAGGGAACAUGAGCUCAAGCACAGAAAGUGAUGGGAGACAUGUCUUAUCAAGGAGUCCGGGCCUCGUAGCAGUCCUCUGCAUAUUCUGCAUCUGUCUGGGUCUUCUGCUGGCCGUUGGAAUUGCAAAGCUCAUUACUCCCAGAGGUUCAACAUUUCAGAGGCUUGAAGAUGUGCCAUUGGGCAAAAUAAAUGAAGAGUCUCCAUUUGCCCGUUACCCUGAAAAACAAUUCUGAAAGAAAACACAUCAUGAGAGAAGGUGGAUGGAUGCAUCAAGGAACUGAAUACAGAAGAUGCACAGACAAUGUCUGCGUUUACACAGGUAGCCCAAUUCUGAUCUUUUGCCAAAUUUUUAGCGAAAGAUCUGAUUUGUCAAAAAUACCAAUUAUUGGCACAAUAUCAGAAUUGGUCUGCCUUUAUAAACACAGCCAAUGUGUCAGGUAUCACUAGAAAUAAAGCUAUGAAAAAAGCUAUAAUAAAGCCAAAUUCUCUGUUUCUUGAAAAGACUAUGACAAACAGGCCUAAUUUUUGUAUGGGUUGAAAUAAAUAAAUGAUUGCAUUGAAUUGUGUUCUCUUUUUCUCCAGAUGAGAUGAGGUGUUAUAUAUUGGAUCAAGAUACACUGAGUAUAAAAACAUUAAGAACACCUGCUCUUUCCAUGACAUAGACUGACCAGGUGAAUCCAGGUGAAAGCUAUUAUUGAUGUCACUUGUCAGUGUAGAUGAAGGGGAGGAGACAAGUUAAAGAAUGAUUUUUUAAGUCUUGAGACACUAGAGACAUGGAUUGUGUAUGUGUGAGGGUGAAUGAGGAAGAAAAAAGAUUUGUGUCUUUGAAUGGGCUACGGUAGAAGCUGCUAGGCUCACCGGUUUGUGUCAAGAACUGCAAUGUUGCUGGGUUUUUCAUGCUUAACAGUUUCCCAUGUGUAUCAAGAAAGGUCCACCACCCAAAGGACACCCAGCCAACUUGACAACUGUGGGAAGCAUUGGAGUAAACAUGGGCCAGCAUCCCUGUGGAACACUUUCGACACCUUGUGGAGUCCAUGCUGUUCUGAGGGUAAUGUUUGGUAUACUCAGUGUAUGUCAGCUAGUAAAUCAGUU